AGGAGAAGGAGCCAAGGUGUAAUAUUUAGGUGACGUCAAGCAGAAUGAGGUGGACGUGGCGGAGGCUGUGGGCGGUCAAUUCACGGCGCAGGUUACCCACACCUUGCACCACGCUGACUGCCCGCCGCUGUUCACAAAAUUCGGGCAAGCCUGUAUCUCCGUGUUCUGCCCUGGAUAUAGGAGUAAAAGUGCAAUAGUGGCAGAGCUGCAGACGACCCCCGCACGGAAGAGCAACAACAAUCUGGCAGUCAGUCAGUCAGUCAGUUCUCCCACAGUGCUGGCAGUUGCAUCCCGAACCAGCGCAUAUGUGACAGCAUCAAUGAUUGCUGCAGUAACGGAGAGGAUGAGUUUGUGCAGCUGUGUGGGAUUGAGGAGUGCCGGGAGAAGAAUAUCGGGUGUGUGUGAGCCUGUUUACAUCAACACUCGAGAGUCAUACUACUGCCAGUGCCGGCCAUGCAGUGUACAGACUCGUGUCAGAAAGUUCAAGUAUGAAGACAUUGACGAGUGCGUGGAGUCGCCCAGAUCUUCUCC